rnacentral:rRNA from 1 species
UACGGGGGGGGCAAGCGUUGUUCGGAAUUACUGGGCGUAAAGGGCGCGUAGGCGGCCUUCUAAGUCGGACGUGAAAUCCCUCGGCUUAACCGAGGAACUGCGUCCGAGACUGAAAGGCUUGAAUCCGGGAGAGGGAUGUGGAAUUCCAGGUGUAGCGGUGAAAUUCGUAGAUAUCGAGAGGAACACCGGUGGCGAAGGCGGCCAACUGGACGAAUACUGACGCUGAGACUCGAAAGCGUGGGGAGCAAACAGG